GGAGAAUCCUGGGAACUGUAGUUUGUUAAGGUGCAAUUCUUGGCACCCUUAGCAGACUGCAGUUCCCAGAAUUCUCC